rnacentral:miRNA from 1 species
CCUGGCUGUCCUGGAACUCACUCUGUAGACCAGGCUGGCCUCGAACUCACAGAGAUCUGCCUGCCUCUGCCUCCUGAGUACUGGGAU